UUUGUGGUGCUUUCAAUUGAUGUUUUUCAUCUCUUACUCAUCCCUGAGGUUAGAUUGUCUAUGGAGAUAUGUCAACCUGAAUAACAUCCCUGCUGUUCUGUUGUUUUUGUAGUGUGAGAAUCAAUUUCUCCUCCUACACAAAAAACACAAUACAAAAUUAGAAGUAGCGAGAAAAAGAGCUGUUCCUUUCUGUUAAAAGGGGCUAAACUGAUGUUGAAUAAUGGCAGCUGCUGUUUUCUUUGAACAAUGUUCAGAAUUCAUACAGAAAAGCAAAACUCAUUUUCAUAGAACUACCUCAUUCUCUGAACAAUGGCAGCUGUUGAUUUCCUUGCAUAGUGUUCAGAAUUCAUAGAAUAGCUUGCUACAGAAAAACAAAACAAUGUUCAUUGAAUUAGCGAAAUGACUCCUUGGCGAUCGAAUUACUUCAUAGAAUAACUUAUGGCGAGCCCCUUGGUGACGAAACAAAAGUUAUGGUGAGCCCCUUACCGCCGAAACGCCCAGCCUGUCCACACAAAAAAUGUCAUUGUUUCAGAAUGCAAUUAGGGAUUUUCUUUUCCCAUCUCCACAACCGGUUCCGGUACUUCUAUGAAUUUUCAGACGACGAAAGGCGAGACUGAGGCGGACGAGUUGCUGUCAAAAAAUCCGAUUUUCCUGAUGACAGAGCCACCAAGGUGGCCUGCUUUUCUUCAGUUUUGAGAUCCACAUUCCUUCCAUUUUGUUGUCCAGCAUCCUCACUGAAUUAGUCAUUUCAAAAAAGUUAAAAUCAUCAUCUUCCUGCUGAUGCUGAAAAAAGAGCAAAUUGUGCGUGACGGGAACUACCUAGCCAUGCUGGCUUCAAUAAGAAGAUAGGUAACAAAAUCAACAUCCAUGUGCUGCUCCCUGUCAAACCUGUGGGGUGUUCUUGUGCUGCUCCCUGUCAAAUCGGGGUAUUCGUGAGAUCAGCUAUGGACUCAUGUGAAGGAAGAGGGGAGGGGGAGGUGCGUGGGUGGUACCGGGAAAUACGCGGACGCCGUUGGGAUGCUUGCCGACGAUGACUCGCCGUACUGGGCGCUGCCGCGAGGGAGGAGCCGCCGGCGAGGAGGGGGAGGGGGAGGGGAACGGCAGAGUAGCUGCUCGUGCGGCCACGCCGUCUCGCCGUACUGGGCGCUGUCGCCGGCGAGGAGGGGGGAGGGGAAUUGCUGUGGAUAGAGUAGAGUAGGAGGGGAUGCAGAGAGGAGGCGAGGCAACGGAGUAGAAGGGCGGUGUGACGACUGACGACUGUAAUCCACGAAAUGUUCCGUCG
rnacentral:lncRNA from 1 species